rnacentral:misc_RNA from 1 species
CUCUCUCUCUCUCUCUCUCUCUGCUCUCUGUCUUCUUCCCUUGUUUUUCUUUCUUUCUUUCUUUCUUUCUUGGCCACUGUGAUCUUACCACCAUUUCCAGUUCAUUACAAAUCCCAUUUAUAUAUUUUUAGCUAAGCUUUACCAAGAAAGCAAUGGCUGGCAGAGAAAUCUUAAACAAGAUGAAGGAAAAAGUGGGAUUAGGUUCAUCUGCAGACUCUGGAAAGGGCAAGAGUAAGAUAUCAAAGAAUGUAACCCAUGGCUAUCACUUGGUGAAGGGAAAGUCACAUCAGGCCAUGGAAGAUUAUAUUGUUGCACAAUUUAAGCAAGUUGAUGACUAUGAGCUUGGGUUGUUUGCAAUAUUUGAUGGUCAUCUGAGCCAUGUUAUUCCUGAUUAUUUGCGAUUGAAUUUGUUUGACAAUAUCUUAAAAGAGCCAGACUUCUGGGCAGAGCCAGAAAAUGCCAUGAGGAAAGCAUACCAAAUAACCGAUACUACUAUUUUAGACAAAGCAGCUGAUUUGGGUAAAGGGGGUUCAACUGCUGUCACGGCAAUACUAAUCAACUGUCAGAUGUUGGUAGUAGCCAAUGUUGGUGAUUCUCGAGCUGUAAUCUGCAAGAAUGGCGUGGCCAAGCAACUGUCAGUUGAUCAUGAGCCAAGUGUAGAAAGGAAGGAUAUUGAGAAGAGAGGUGGUUUUGUAUCGAACUUCCCAGGGGAUGUUCCACGUGUUGAUGGGCAAUUGGCAGUGGCAAGGGCAUUUGGUGACAAGAGCUUGAAAGAACAUCUCAGCUCAGAGCCGGACGUUGCGAAGGAAGUGAUUGAUGAUGAUACAGAUUUUAUUAUCUUAGCUAGUGAUGGGUUGUGGAAGGUGAUGUCAAACCAGGAAGCAGCAGAUGCUAUUAAGAACAUAAAGGAUGCUCGUUCUGCAGCAAAACACCUUGCUGAAGAGGCACUUAAUAGGAAGAGCAAAGAUGACAUUUCCUGCAUAGUUGUAAAAUUUCAGUGAUCUCUGGAUUCCUGUUGGAUUUUUGUUUGAGCUGAUGACAAACUCCCUGAUACCUGUAAUUAUUCAAGGAAAGUUA